GACGAACGCUGGCGGCGUGCUUAACACAUGCAAGUCGAACGAAGAGCGAUGGAAGCUUGCUUCUCUCAAUCUUAGUGGCGAACGGGUGAGUAACGCGUAAUCAACCUGCCCUUCAGAGGGGGACAACAGUUGGAAACGACUGCUAAUACCGCAUACGAUCUAAUCUCGGCAUCGAGGAUAGAUGAAAGGUGGCCUCUACAUGUAAGCUAUCACUGAAGGAGGGGAUUGCGUCUGAUUAGCUAGUUGGAGGGGUAACGGCCCACCAAGGCGAUGAUCAGUAGCCGGUCUGAGAGGAUGAACGGCCACAUUGGGACUGAGACACGGCCCAGACUCCUACGGGAGGCAGCAGUGGGGAAUCUUCCGCAAUGGACGAAAGUCUGACGGAGCAACGCCGCGUGAGUGAUGACGGCCUUCGGGUUGUAAAGCUCUGUUAAUCGGGACGAAAGGCCUUCUUGCGAAUAGUGAGAAGGAUUGACGGUACCGGAAGAGAAAGCCACGGCUAACUACGUG
rnacentral:rRNA from 1 species